rnacentral:tRNA from 1 species
GGGGUUUUGGCUCAGCAGUAGAGCACUCGCCUUGCACAUGGGAGGCCUUGAGUUCAAUCCUCAACACCA